CACACUGUAAACGAUGAUAACUAGAUGUUCGGCAGCAAUGCUGAGUGUUCAAGCGAAAGCGAUAAGUUAUCCACCUGGGGAGUACGACCGCAAGGUUGAAACUCAAAGGAAUUGACGGGGGCCCGCACAAGUGGUGGAGCAUGUGGUUUAAUUCGAUGAUACGCGAGGAACCUUACCUAGGCUAGAAUGUGAGUGAAUUGACUUGAAAGGGUCAAGUCCUUCGGGACACGAAACAAGGUGC
rnacentral:rRNA from 1 species